AGCAGCCGCGGUAAUUCCAGCUCCAAUAGCGUAUAUUAAAGUUGUUGCAGUUAAAAAGCUCGUAGUUGAAUUUCGGGGUCAGCAGGUUGGUCGUGCCACCGGUAUGCACUGGCUUCGCUGAUUCCUCCCUCUUGUAGAACCGUAAUGCCAUUAAUUUGGCGUUGCGGGGAAUCUGGACUGUUACUUUGAAAAAAUUAGAUUGUUUAAAGCAGGCUA
rnacentral:rRNA from 1 species